GGCUUAUACGGAUGUAAGUCAAACAAAAGGAAUUGUAAUCAUACGGAUGUGGUUUUGUCAGGAUGACAGUAAGAACUUUUAGUUCUUAUACGGAUGACUGCAGAAGCCAGGGUGGGAACCCUGGCUUUUUUAUU
rnacentral:sRNA from 1 species